rnacentral:rRNA from 1 species
CUACGUAGGGGGCAAGCGUUAUCCGGUUUUACUGGGUGUAAAGGGAGCGUAGACGGUAAAGCAAGUCUGAAGUGAAAGCUCGGGGCUCAACCCCGGAACUGCUUUGGAAACUGUUUUACUGGAGUGCAGGAGAGGUAAGCGGAAUGCCUAGUGUAGCGGUGAAAUGCGUAGAUAUUAGGAGGAACACCAGAGGCGAAGGCGGCUUACUGGACUGUAACUGACGUUGAGGCUCGAAGGCGUGGGGAGCAAACAGGAUUAGAUACCCUGGUAGUCCACGCGGUAAACGAUGAUCACUAGGUGUCGGCGGCCAUAGGCGGUCGGUGCCGCAGCAAACGCAAUAAGUGAUCCACCUGGGGAGUACGUUCGCAAGAAUGAAACUUAAAGGAAUUGGCGGGG